rnacentral:rRNA from 1 species
UACGAAGGGGGCUAGCGUUGUCCGGAAUUACUGGGCGUAAAGCGCGCGCAGGCGGCCCGCGAGGUGUCACGUGAAAGCCCCGGGCUCAACCCGGGAGGGUCGUGGCAAACCGGCGGGCUUGAGGCCGGUAGAGGUGGGUGGAACUCCUGGUGGAGUGGUGAAAUGCGUAGAGAUCAGGAAGAACACCCGUGACGAAGGCGGCCCACUGGGCCGGUACUGACGCUGAGGCGCGAAGGCGUGGGGAGCGAACGGG